GUUUCCCAGCCCUAGUCGCCAUGAAAAAAAAACUGUAACAAUACGCUGAAAAUUGUUAUUAAUUUUUAAUGCAAUCAACGGAUUGAAGAUGACUACAAAGUGCAGUUGGUGCAUCCCCAGCUGCACCUGCUCAAGCGAAAGUCAGUGUCUGGCUCCGUGAGGAAGCAAAACUUCGACCACCUGGACGUGUGCUUCACGCGCAGUAAUCGUGGCAACAACCUGCUCACCAUUGACGGCAAACCCUUUACGCUUAAUCGUCGCAUCAAGGAUGCCUGCUACUGGGAGUGCGUCAAGUUGCGCUGCAAAUACAUCAAGUGUACAGCGCGUGUGGUAACCAAAUCGAAUCAGAUCUCGGCACUGCGCGGCCAUCACAAUCAUCAAUAAGUGUCACGAGUCACUCCUGUGCCAUUUCUCAUUUUAGUGAAAUAAAACGUUUUUCUGUUGAACCAAAAUCCGUCAUUGUAGCUUCUGUAGAGUCUCGAGCAGCGUAUAGUCUGUUUAGUCUCGUAAUAAUGCCUCGAACUCCUUGCAGAUGGCGUCUACCAGCUGGUGGCCAAUCGGCGCGGUGGCCAGAACCUGAUCUACAAGGGUCACAUGUACUCGGUGGAGCGAAAGUACCAUGCCAGCAUCAAUUGGCAGAACAGGCCAAGGAGUUCGUUGAGUAUGUGCGCUCGAAGCGCGGCACUGGCCUGGUCUACUAUGAGGGCAACACCUACACGCCCAAUGAGAAGCUGCGCGAGGGCCAGUUGAGCCGCGACUGGAAGUGCUCAAUGUACCACAAGGCCAAGUGUCGGGCACGUCUCGUCACGCGUAACACACGCAGUGGAGAAGUCAUACAUGUGACCAGCAGAUUUCACACACAUCCCUCGAUGUACGAUCAACAGCAAAAGUCAGAAGCCAGAGACAGGGACGCCCGCAAGCUAAAGAAGUAGCCACCUAAAUGUCUCGUUCUAGUGUAGAUGGAGCAACAAGAGACACAAAAUAAAUCCCUAUAAUUACUGUAUGGCAAUUGGCAAACAUUUGCCUGUGCGGUGUAUUUUAGACGACAAUGGCAGGACAAUGAAAAGGAGUCCAGUGUCCAUUAGAUUCAUCGAGGGACAACGCAAGUCGGUGCAGCUGGUGUGUGGCAGCUAUGCCUAUGCCAA